rnacentral:rRNA from 1 species
UACGAAGGGGGCUAGCGUUGUUCGGAAUCACUGGGCGUAAAGCGCACGUAGGCGGCUUGUUAAGUCAGGGGUGAAAUCCUGGAGCUCAACUCCAGAACUGCCUUUGAUACUGGCGAGCUUGAGUCCGGGAGAGGUGAGUGGAACUGCGAGUGUAGAGGUGAAAUUCGUAGAUAUUCGCAAGAACACCAGUGGCGAAGGCGGCUCACUGGCCCGGUACUGACGCUGAGGUGCGAAAGCGUGGGGAGCAAACAGG